GAAUUUUCGAUGAAGAGGAAUAGUAAUAGCGCCUGUGUAUUUCAGAGAGCCAGCGGAUGGUGCAAGCUGGUUGCCGGAGCACUAUGAACUCGCCUUGGAGAUAUGAGGUUAAGCUAUUUGUACAGCAUUUGGUAAGCCUCAUCGGUUCACCGCCGUUACAGGGUGCUUAAGGGAGUGGACGACGAAGCACGUUUGUCCGCUAACUAGGGUGGUACCACGGGAAUUACAACCUCUCGUCCCUAGC
rnacentral:ncRNA from 1 species